rnacentral:rRNA from 1 species
CUGGCGGCGUGCCUAAUACAUGCAAGUCGAACGGUCUUUUCUAUGGAAGCUUGCUUCCACUGAGAAGAUAGUGGCGGACGGGUGAGUAACACGUGGGUAACCUGCCCAUAAGAGGGGGAUAACAUCCGGAAACGGGUGCUAAUACCGCAUAGUUUUCUUGAUCGCAUGAUCGAGAAAGGAAAGACGGCCUUUGUGCUGUCGCUUAUGGAUGGACCCGCGGCGUAUUAGUUAGUUGGUGAGGUAAUGGCUCACCAAGACGAUGAUACGUAGCCGACCUGAGAGGGUGAUCGGCCACAUUGGGACUGAGACACGGCCCAAACUCCUACGGGAGGCAGCAGUAGGGAAUCUUCCGCAAUGGACGAAAGUCUGACGGAGCAACGCCGCGUGAGUGAAGAAGGUUUUCGGAUCGUAAAACUCUGUUGUCAGAGAAGAACAAGUUGGAGAGUAACUGCUCCAGCCUUGACGGUAUCUGACCAGAAAGCCACGGCUAACUACGUGCCAGCAGCCGCGGUAAUACGUAGGUGGCAAGCGUUGUCCGGAUUUAUUGGGCGUAAAGCGAGCGCAGGCGGUUCCUUAAGUCUGAUGUGAAAGCCCACGGCUCAACCGUGGAAGGUCAUUGGAAACUGGGGAACUUGAGUGCAGAAGAGGAGAGUGGAAUUCCAUGUGUAGCGGUGAAAUGCGUAGAUAUAUGGAGGAACACCAGUGGCGAAGGCGACUCUCUGGUCUGUAACUGACGCUGAGGCUCGAAAGCGUGGGGAGCAAACAGGAUUAGAUACCCUGGUAGUCCACGCCGUAAACGAUGAGUGCUAAGUGUUGGAGGGUUUCCACCCUUCAGUGCUGCAGCUAACGCAUUAAGCACU